rnacentral:rRNA from 1 species
ACGGAAGGCAGCAGUGGGGAAUAUUGCACGAUGGGCGCAAGCCUGAUGCAGCGAUGCCGCGUGAGGGAAGAAGGUUUUCGGAUUGUAAACCUCUGUCAACAGGGACGCAAAUGACGGUACCUGUGAAGGAAGCUCCGGCUAACUACGUGCCAGCAGCCGCGGUAAUACGUAGGGAGCAAGCGUUAUCCGGAAUUACUGGGUGUAAAGGGAGUGUAGGCGGGACUGUAAGUCAGAUGUGAAAUAUGCCGGCUCAACUGGCAGACUGCAUUUGAAACUGCGGUUCUUGAGUGAAGUAGAGGUAAGCGGAAUUCCUAGUGUAGCGGUGAAAUGCGUAGAUAUUAGGAGGAACAUCAGUGGCGAAGGCGGCUUACGGGGCUUUAACUGACGCUGAGGCUCGAAAGCGUGGGGAGCAAACAGGAUUAGAUACCCUGGUA